CGCCACCUCUGCCGCUGAUCUGGCAGCUUCCUCCACCGUAUCUUUACUAUGCUCGAAGCUCCUUGUGACCGCCUCUUUCAUCUUUUCUCCCGCUCCCAUCUCUGCUGCAUCAUCCUUUCCUCUAAAACUACACAAAAGGUAAAGAAGAGAACGAGAGCUAAAUAAAAGUUUUAUGAACGGAUUUAAUUAGUAUUAUAAUAAGAUCUAAGAUCUAUAAUAUCUACUUACUCUAUGUUAGGAGGAAAAAAGCGGGAGUGACCACGUCCUAAAGUCUCUUUGAAUUUCGACCAAUAAUCAUUACCAGACCGUUUGAUUCUAGAUAGCCAAACCGUCGCCGUUUUAUCUUCCGGCGGCACUGCUUCACUGGAAACAUUCGCAGAGAAUACAAAAA
rnacentral:lncRNA from 1 species